AAGUCCUACGGGGGGCAGCAGUGAGGAAUAUUGGUCAAUGGGCGGAAGCCUGAACCAGCCAAGUCGCGUGAGGGAAUAAGGCCCUACGGGUCGUAAACCUCUUUUGCCGGGGAGCAAGGGUCGGGACGCGUCCCGGCCCGGAGAGUACCCGGAGAAAAAGCAUCGGCUAACUCCGUGCCCGCAGCCGCGGUAAUACGGAGGAUGCGAGCGUUAUCCGGAUUUAUUGGGUUUAAAGGGUGCGUAGGCGGGCUUUUAAGUCAGCGGUAAAAAUUCGGGACUCAACCCCGUCCGGCCGUU
rnacentral:rRNA from 1 species